ACGAACUUCUGGUUCUCAUCUGAUCACCACAGUUAAGCAGCAUCGGGCGUGGUCAGUUCUUAGGCGGGCGACUACCUGGGAACAACA